GGAAGCCGUCGUCUUAGCAACUCAGUAACGUCCCUCCAGCAUUCCUUCGCCACGCCCACCGAUUUGGGCAUCUGGAGCCAGUCUGCCUUUGAUUGGCCCGUCUCUCCUUCACUCUAGGAGACGUUUGGGGCGGCGAGAUUCCAAGCCUCAUACUUGAAUUUGUGGCGCGUAGAGUUCCUGAGGUGCACAAUUGAGCUGGGCGUCUUACUGGAGACAGCAAUCUGUGUUCUAUCCUCGUCUCCCUCACCAGCAGUAUCAUAAAGAAACAUUACAUCUUCCUUUGUCUCUGGAAAAAAUUCCUUGGCAGAGGUUGGUGAGCGUCCCGCACCUCACAAACUGAAUCCAGAACUUUCCUCAUCGAGAAAGAGGAUGCUGCUGUGCUAAUUAUCCUAAGUGGGAAUGUAGUGAAGGUCACGUGGAGAGCGCACGUGACAGCGCUCUAUAAAGCACCACAGAAAUGUGACAUUAUCCCCAUUUUACAAGUGAAUAACCUGAAGCUCAGAGUAAGUACUUUGCCCAUUGACACAGCAUAAAGGAGUGACAGAGCUGGCGUUUGAAACAAGAGUUCAUAUAAAGUAAAGACCUAGGCUGAGAAUAGAAAGUGAGUAAGGAUGCAGGUAUGUUCCUAUGAUAAGAAAAUAAUUGAAAGUAUUAAGAAGUGCCAAAAAAUAUAUUUUGCUUCUCUGAUAGAAAUUAGUAAUAUUUGAUACAUUAUAAGCUUCUUUAAAGAAGUAUAUUUUGAAUAUAUCAAUGUUUUAUUUUUCUUUAAAAACAUUUAGUUAAUUUUUAAGGAAACUUUUAAAAUAAUUUUUAAUGGUAACACAUUUCUAGUUUUUAGUAGAAGUCAUGGGGAGAAUGAUUGUAUUUAUAUUUGUUUUACUUCUCAACCUGUAGGAAAUGGUUCUGUAUAUAUUUCAAAAGUGGUGAGUUGAUUAUUCAUGUUAAACCUUUUUUUAAAUUUUCUGAUAUUAAAAAAAAUAAAACAUUACUUUUUAGAAAGAUUUCCCACUUCUUUUUUUUCUGAAAGAACUUUAAAAAUAUAAUUGUCAGUUGCAAGAAUAAAUGUCUCACCAAAACUCAUAGGAAUAUAGACUUUUGAGAAUUAUUUCACCAUUAAUUGAAAAAUGUCUGUGGAAACACUUGUUAGCAUUUCAAGGGAAUGAAUAUUUUUAUAGUUUAAGCAGGCAUCCUCUUCAUGAAUAUUAGGCCUAAGGCUUGAGAACAUUUGGGAACUAGUUAAAUUUUGAAUAAAGUCAAAUUCUUCUUUUCCAAAAGCAGUAGCUUUGGUGACCAUAUGUUAAGAUGACAGUCACUACCAAGAAAUGACAGGAAGUGUCAAUGGUACUGCUUGAGAGAACAACAAAUUUCAAAAAACUGUUAAGAGGGUAAAGAAGAAAAAGUGAGGGGUGUUUAUGGUGGAGUCCUUUGGGUAGUAUCUGGUGAAAAUAUUCUAAAUAAUUCAGGGCCCUUUUAUGUUUUAAGAACUAACCAACAAAUAGGGCCAGCAAAUCUCUACUUUGCUUAGCUGGUUAGCUAGUUAGUCCUCUAGAUCAUUAUCACUAUCAUUGAGCCUCUGAGUGCGUGGGUGAGGUUGAAAGAGGAGGAUGAAGAAAUACAUGUUGAUCACACCAGCUACCUAUCAGAUGUUCAUUUAAGUGCUUUGAUAUCUUUUUUUAAUUUUGGAAUAAGUUUAGAUUUAUAUGAAAGCUGUAUAUCUGUUACCACAUUUCACUUUCUCAUGUUACCAUCUUAUCUGCUUGCUUGCUUUUAAUUCUUGCAACCAAUCCUUGAAAGAAGCUACUGUUAUUUUGUUUUCCAUAAGAAGAAACUUGGGCCUCAUUGUGAAGAAUAACUUACCUAUUAAUUCAACAAAUUUUGAGGGCAUACUGUGUGAUAGACAUUAUUUUAGGGUAGCCAUGGGUAUAUAAGUCUAAGAUGUUAUGCCUGCCUUCAUGGGGCUAUAAUAUUUAUAUUAUUGUUUGUAAUACCAUAUCAAACUAAUUUCCUUUUUGUGCCUCUAGGAAGUCCUUAUAAGAAAAGCACUUAUGGGUGAAAUAAUAUUGAGUAUCUCCCUACCACCCCACAUUUCCUCAAAAACAUCUGUAUACUUAACCACCUUCACAAACUGCUCUGUAAUGUUAAUGUAUGCCACUUAGGAUUUCUGUUCAUCUGUUAUUGAUAUAUGUUGUCAUCCUCUAAACAUUCUUUGUUAUAGCCUAACUAUAUUGGCUCUUUGGUAGUAUAGGUUAUAUGAAAAUAUAAUUCUUAGCAUCUUAAGGUUAGAUUUUCAGUGAAGGAAUACAACCUCAGCUCCUGUUAACUGUAAUGGGAAUCCCGUGACUACCUUACCACACCCCUCGCUGAAAAAGCUACUAUUCCUGAGGGGGUCACUGACCUUUACAUCCAUUAUAGAAGUAUGAGAGGAGCGGGGAGGGAGAAGUGCGUUAAGUGAUAGGUUAGUCACAGAGAGACAAAAGAAUAAUCAGAAGACUUAGAAGCUGGGGGAAGCUUAUGAAAGAAUGGGGAAGUGAGAUUCUUGUAACAGGGAUCCCCGCUGUCCUCUGUUUUCAGUGUAGCAAAGCAAACCAGGCCCCUGUGGACGCUAGUACUAAAGAAUGAAUUAUGGACCUGAAUAGUAAUGUGUUGGUGCUAAUGAUUUCAUCAGUGACCAUGGCCCUUGUCAUUCCUUUGUGUGUGUGUGUGUGUGUGUGUGUGUGUGUGUGUGUGUGUGUGUCUGGGGUGAUUUCUUUUAUUAAACAACCUAUUUGGCUUAAAAAAUGUAGUUUUUCCAGAGUCAUUUGGUUGUCGUGAAUUUGGCAAUGUGAAAAAUGCACUUUACAUAUUUUUCUGCAGUCAUACUCAGUUAAAAAAAAAAAAAAAAGGUUACAUCAUUAAUUUUUGUGUUUAGUCCCAUGCACAUACAGCUUUUAGCCUAGCCCUUUUUCUUUCAGUCUUUUAGACCUUUCUUCAAAUUAUUAUAUCAAAAACUGAAUUUUUCACUUUUCUCUCUAAACUUUUUUUUCCACAUUGCUCCUAUAAUCAUUUAAUUCAUUCUCAUACAUCAGUUUUUAUAACCUUAUAUAGGCAAUCAGAUUUCCUUUUGUUCAUAUUUACAUUUUUUUCAGAAAUCAAGAUUUUAAUCUUGAUACUUUUGAGUAAUACCUUUUGUGGCAGUUAUGAUUUAUAAUAGACUUCUACUUAUCAAGAGAGAUGUUCUACCACUAUUAAGGCUAAAAGCAACAAUGAAUAAUUUUUUGUAGGCCUGUUACUUGUUGUUACUCUGACAAUAUCUAAGAUUUAAUCCAAACUUCAGUUUUGUUUUAGAAGAAUAUAUGCUUUUCAUGCUCUCUCUUUCCCAACUGCAUCUUUAUGUCAUGAAUGUUUUUCCAGAAUCUCAUGGUCUUCUCAAAACUUAUUCUGAUUUCAUACUACUAACUUUAAAGUUUUCUAAGAUUCUCUCUUGGGAUCCUUUAAGGAGUUGGUUGGAAUGGAGGCAACCAAGAAUUAUUAUUCAGUCUGUUCAUCAGUAUGUGACAUUGGCCAGCAUCUUACUGAAGACAAAUGAUCUCUUAGUUUUAAGUUAAAAAUCACCUAAUUCUCUUGAUACUCCACUAAAUUCCAACCUAUGAACAGUGGGGAUGGAGAUACAAUGCUAUGCUAUACUUUACUAUACUAUACUAAAGUACACUACAGUAAAUGAAAAGUGCAAGAAUGGGCUAGUGUCCUCAAUUUGCGUGAAGAUGUGUGUGAGAAAAGUGUACCUGGAAGAUGUGGCUAUCCUCCAAAGAAUAUCUUUUGUACCCAAGAGUACCCCUUGGCACUAACAAUAAAGAGCAACUUUGAGCUGGUAGUAUGCAGUGGAAGAUGAAGUGCAGAAUUAAUAAUUAUCUGUAAGUCUGGAUGGUCAACUGGAUUCAUCUGGGACAUCAAUCUGUUUUUUUAUUCUUCUACCACUAGAGCAUGACCUUUAUGCAAGUGAUAGAAUUUGCAUUUCUGUUAAGCUUAAGACUUCUAAGAAAUCCCCUUUCUUUUCUACACAGGGUCAGUUUAAGAUCUCUCACUGAGACUUUUCACAUUGUGUUAUAUACUGAAUACUGCUUGCUAAGUUUAGAUUGCCAAUUUCUAUCUAGUGGUUUUAUCUUAUAGAAAUUGCAUAAGCAAAUAAUUCUGUUGCCAUUUUCCUUAAGGUGUGUAUAUGCCUUUCAAAUACUUGGUUGGAAACAGAAGACUGUUCCUGUCUUGCUCAUAUGGAUACUGUGCUAGGGGUUAUGUGAAGAAUAAAAAGAUGUAUAAGAGAAUUCCUGGAUGGGCAACCUAGAAUUGACUUGAAAACUCUCCCACUACUAAACAUCCAGAAAUGAGGCAGGAAUCAGGAGAAACACAAGUGAUGAACAUUAGUGGCAGAGUGUGUGGUUGCAAGAAUCAAUGAACCACAGGAUGCUUCAGAUUCUGAAACAGUGAAAAAAGCGCCUGCCCCUGGCUCAGCGCCUGGUGCCAACAGAACACCUUUCAGGAUCCACAGCAACGCAGACAACGUAAGUACCAGCUGUUUCCUGAAACCCUUUCUCAGAUUUUUUUUUUUAAACGACCACCUAGAACAUAGAGAGAAACAAGCCUCUUUCCCCUUCUUUCCCCUUCUUCUCCCCUGCGUUAUGCCACCAGGGUUUCCUAAGUAGCACCUUCCAAAUCCCUCUGCCUUCAAGUUUGUGCAUGUCUGUGUGGCAUCCCUCCUCCUCCUUCACUCCCAUAGUGGAUCUUGUAAAAGGGCUUCAGAUCGGCCCCAUUCAUCUCCCUGGUGAUAGCAGUGAAUGUAGAUAAAUCUCUGACUGCCUGCUUGCUGCUCGAGUAUGAUUUUUAUUUUGUCUUCUGUGUAUACCUGGGUCAAAAAGUGGGAUUGUAUGCACACACAUACAUGCACAUACACACGUUUCCUUCUCUCUCCUUCUCUGUCCUCUCCUUUUUUCUCACACAUGCAUACAUCCCACAUAUGUGUAUAUAUGCAUAAACAUACAUACCUAUAUACACACCCAUACCUAUAACAAAAACAUAUACAUAUCUAAAUGUUUAAUUUGUCUGAAAAUAAUGUGCAUUUACAUACACAUACAGCCUUACAACUGUGUCUAUAUGCAAUCGAUAGGUGCCUAUCUUUUAAUUUAUACCCAUCUAUAUCUCCAUUUAAAUAUCCCCUCUCUUCUCCCAGCAGAAGCUGUGUGCAAUUGCAAUCCAGGAUUGUACAAGCCGUAUUCUUUCCUUAUGAUUUCUCUUUGUAGACCUUUAUGCUCCCUUCUCUGCCUUCUUCCGAGCUGUAGAAUUGGCAUCUUUCCCUGAGGUUUUCCGAAUGGCAAGUGGCACCGGCUGUGGCAUGCAUUCACGCCGCUUCCUAUGGCAUUUCUCUUCCGAUGUCUGCUUUUUCUCUUUGUUUGUUGUUGACUAGGCUGAAUGGUGGGGGUUUUUUAAGUUAAUUAUAAACGAAGUUGAAUAGCAAACAAACCAACAGCUUGCCCAAAAAGAAAAAAACAGCCCGACACAAGCGCCUUCUGCUGCAACAGAUGCCCAGAUCACCCCUGGCAUGGGCAAAUGGGCACACGAUUUUGGUGGUUGUUAAUUUUUUCUGUUUGUUGCUGUAUUUGUUGUUUGUUUUCCUUGUUUCCUUUUGAUUUUUCAAGGAGUCCAAGAUCCCGGCCUCUGCUUGGAACGGAACAGUGUCAUGGCGGAGACGACGGCCUUUGUCUUGCUGGGUGUGAAAGCAUCCGCUGUGCUGGCUCCACUGCGGCAGAAUCAAGUUUAAAGGAAGAAAAUGAUUAAAGUCAGCUUUGUGCCUCUUUGGUGUGGAAGACCCCCAAACCCCAAGUAGCCGAGUCCCUGGGUCCGAGGAAGGGCUCAUAGUUGGAGCAGCCUAGGCUGUAAUCCUGGCACUUGCGCCUUCGGUUGCUGCUUGCUGUUCGCUCCUGGGGGUCUGGAUAAUCUCCCUUGGCUUUACCGCACUGUCUGGCCCGCAUACAGGGCCCUCGUAACAUAUACCCGCUGCUGCUAUCACACGAAACUGUGGCGUUGCCCCUGAAUGGAUGGCACCGUGCCAACUCUUCUGCCAUCCGCCCUUGCAGCUUUUUUCUUUCCUCCCUCCCUCCCCUUCUUCUCCUCCUCCUCCCGUCGACUUGACGUUAAUUAACACACGGGUUAAUUGAUUUUAAAAGCCGAAGAAUUACAGUUAACUUUUCCCACAGGGUACAGACGCCAGCCGCUUGGCACACUCUGCCUUUCACACUGGUGCAGGGGGGCAGGGAAAGCCCGCAGCAGAACUGGCAACUGCUGAGGGAACGUUGCCUGCUUAUUGGAGUAGAGCCGAUAGAAGUCGACGUGGUGCUGCCUCAUCCUUACAGUAUAUAUAGCCAUUCGAUAUUUUGUUAAAUAAUCAAGCACACCCUGUCUUUCUUCUCCCUUCGUCUUCCAAAACAGGAAACCCCUUCAGAAGUUCUUAUGGGGGAAAAAUCCCUUCCCCUAGACCAUUUAUCUCAUCUAUAAUAUGUUUUUUUCCCAAUAAUAAGAAAAUGCCGGGGGACUUUUUUUUUUUAAGUUACAAGGGGGAAGGCUACCCCUUCCCUAAAUAUCACAUGUAAAGAAGCUAUUUUUUUUUUAAGGAAAAAGUUCCAUAAAGUUUCUUUCUCUGUUAUCCCAGUGUUUUUGUUUUGUUCCCAUUCCUCUUGACUCCGAUGGGUGAUUUAUGGUGAAGGAUUUCACUAAGAGAGUAGGUACAUUGUAAUUAAGAACAAAAUUAGUAUGAAGGCUCUUUUUGUUUGUUUGUAGGUUUGUAGAUUUUGCUUUGUGUCCCCUUUACCCCUUAUCCUGUAGAAAAUGAAAGCAAUUGAUGCUGUAGUUGGGAAGGAGACAGGCAAAGCUGGAAACUUGAUGCUUCCACCUUUUCAUGCUUUCAUUUUAUUUCAUUUUGUUUUUUAAAAGCAUGCAGCAAGUGAAGCGACAAGAGGAAUCCAUUAUGCAAAUCGUGUCACUUUGCAUAAUGUCUCAUGACUGGAAUAUGCAAAUGAGCUGUAUAAUUUAUGAGUGCCAGUGUCUGUCUAAAAGUGUUUCACAUAAUUUACAAAGUAAGUCUGAGAGACAUGAGGAAGGCAGCUCUUCCAACACCAUUGCCAAGGAAGCUCUUUACGUUUUCCUACAAGUGCUCCCUGGUAAUAUUAUCAAGUGCUAUUUUUAAAGAAAUUAAGGUUUCAAAUAUUCAUGAAAGACGAAAAUUUUCCUCUCACUCUCUUCACCCAAAUUCUUUGCCUGAAAAUUUACAAGAAACUAAUAGUUUCUAAAACAUUAAUUUUUUGGAUUCAAUUGGGGGGGGGAGGAAGUUGAGCCAAACUUUUGCGAUUUGUAUAUGGAUUUUCCUUUCAAAAGCAAGGAAUGUCUUAGAGAAACAGACACCUUAUCCAUUUAUCAGGAUCUUUGAAGGCAAUAAAGUGGAAUUUCUCAUUUUGGUUGGUUUUGUGUGUGCCCUGCUAUGUGCAGCAUUUUAUAAAUUAUAUUUUCUUGGAUGUGUUAGGCAUGUAAUAUGGAAACCAGAUGCAUUUAACAUUCUUCUGAAGUUAUAAUUCUGCUUUCAGAGAUGUCUUCACAAGAGAAAUGCUAGUCAUUGAAAACCAGGUUUAAAUUAAUUAAAUCAGCUUAGUUGGCUGCUGUAUGUCUCAUUUCGGUAACUUUUUUGAGUUGAUGAUUCUGAACCUUUCGAGAAGUCAUAGCAUCUCUGAUAAUCUCAACUAAUCUGCCCUUAUAUUUUUCAUUUCAGUCAUAGUAAGUUCUGUGAAAGAAAGAUACAGGGUGCCCUGAAAAUGUACACGAGGAGGACCUGAUCUUUGUAGAGCAUGUCAGAAAACGCUUUCUGAAGGUGAAUUCAAGAUGCAUUGAAGUAUCAGAUUUCUGAAUCCUGCCUUAUGUGACCUAUUCCUUCUCUUUGUGAAGUUUUAUUUUCAAGAAUUUAAUAGCCAUUUAAGAAAAUAAAAAUAAGAGGAACACUUCACCCAACAAGAGCAGAAUACAGAUUCUCUUCAGCAUGCCCAAGAAUUUCUCCAGUGGGGCCUUUUUGAGAUUUGACACUCCUUCUAGUACCUAGGAAGUGAAAUGAAGUCACGUUCUGAGAAGGAAAGCAUUAUAAGGCACCUGCACCUCCUUCAUUUGAAACCUCUGUGUGGUCAUCAAGUAAGCCCUGUUAGAACCAAGUUCUUUCCACAUCUGACAAAUGAUUAUUAUGAAAACAUCUUCCAGUAUCUUCACACAGCUGUUAUAGUAGUAUCAGUUGACAGUCAACCACAGAUCAACUUUAUGGGAGUCCAGGAGUCCAGCAGGGAAGUUCUAGCACACUGUUUGAGCAAAAAAAUCUAAGAAUAAAUGUAGUGAAUAAGGUGUAUCUUGUGCCAGUGACAUUGGUAACAGCUGGAAAGAAUUUAUUUCCUUGAUUGACUAAGUAGAAGAUGGUUCCCAGAACUGAUCUUUAAGUCUAAAUAAGCAUCCCCAGAGGUGUUGGAGUUUUCAAGAAAGUUCUAGAAAGGAGGCAAAGAUUUUAAAGCCAUGGAUGACUAUCAUAGGUGUUGACAAUGACAAUCCUGAAGGAUUUGGAAGCUCUGCGUCACCCAAAGGAAAAGCGCCAGAGUCAGGAUGCAGUUCCAGACAGGUGUCCCUCCUUACUCAAAAUGUGUCAAGGUCAGGUGCUGAUGAUCUGUGCCAGCAACUGUGAAGACAGGAAGACUGGAAGGAAAAAACACAACAGUUUUCUGGAACAGCGAGAUGCAAAAAUCCUGAACCUUCAAAGCCAGCUCCUGCAGAAGAGAGAGGGCCUGGCAGCUGAGCUGGAUGCUUCAGGAGCAGAGGAUCUAUCAACUGCAGACCAAGCAUAGGGAGACGCAGGCAGACCUGGAACAGAAACCCAGCCAGCGCCAGCCGCUCCGACAGUACUUGGUGGCCGGAGAGUCGGCAGCAGGAAGCAUGAGGCAGGAAAUGACCCAAUCCUUGAGGUCUGCUUAUAGAUAAAGAAAACAAAGAUCCAGCUGGGACAGACUCAAAUGGAUGCACCUACUUUCAUGCCCAGGCUUUCAGAGGAGCAGGUAAAUGAGGAGUAAGAGGUCUGCUUCCUGCUAGCAUUGUCAUUGGCCUCCAUGCUGUGCCUAAGCAUCGUGCCUAUGAAGACAGUGAGCUCAUUCCUAUAUAGGAUGAGUACAUCAAACAGUAGACGUCUUUCUCUGAGUCAACUUGGUCAAAUGACACCUUCCCUCUGAGGGUCACUGCUUCUUAGGCAGAUUUAUACAGGAGGCUUCUUGCAAAGGAGAUCUGCCUUCUCAUUUGUCACCAGGAUCCAUGAUGCCCAAAAGAGGAGAUUGGACUGGAUUGCAUUGUCUCCAUCUGACCUGGAAAACUCUAGCUCCAUGAAGAUUUCCAUAGUCACCAUGCUCUCUGGGUAGAGUCAGCAACAACCACCAGCAGCGUGUCCUAGUUCCACACUGCCAUUCCUUCUCUUCUGUGCUUCUCUCCACGUUUCCUAUUCCAGCACAGCAUUAGAACAGUGUUACUAGCUAGAGACAGCACAAAUGGGGAAGGGGAAGAGAGAGAGGGGGAAGGAGGAUCCAAAGCUGACAGGCUGAGCGGACCCACUGAAAGCAGCAAGCCUGAUGCGGGCCUCAAACCCACGCACUUUGAGAUCUUGACCUGGGCCAAAGUCAGACACUCAACCAACUGAGCCACCCAGGCACCCCAAGAUAAGUGCACUCUUAAUGCCCUUUCAUCUGUUUCACCCAUCCUCCUGCCCGCCUUCCCUGGUAACCAUCUGUUUGUGCUGUAUAGUUAAGAGUCUGUUUUUUGGUUUGUCUCUUUUUUUCCCUUUGUUCAUUUCAUAGACUUUUAGAUGAGCACAUAGACACCCAACAAAAUUAGGGUUCUGUUACUGAGGAAAAGAAGAAGUAUGAAUAUUGGAAUAGGCAGUUGAUAGCUUCUGUGAAAAGUACCAAAGAAGGGGCACCUGGAUGGCUCGGUCGGUUGAACAUCUGACUCUUGAUUUUGACUCAGGUCAUGAUCAAAGGGUCGUGGGAUCAAGCCCCAUGUGAGUCUCCACAC